AUACGGAGGAUCCGAGCGUUAUCCGGAUUUAUUGGGUUUAAAGGGUGCGCAGGCGGCCAUUUAAGUCAGCGGUUAAAUCUUGGGGCUCAACCCCAUUCUGCCGUUGAUACUGGGUGGCUUGAUUGCGGUCGAGGUUGGCGGAAUUCGUUGUGUAGCGGUGAAAUGCAUAGAUAUGACGAAGAACACCGAUUGCGGAGGCAGCUGACCAGACCGCAAAUGACGCUCAUGCACGAAAGUGCGGGGAUCGAACAUGAUUAGAUACCCUGGUAGUCCGCACAGUAAACGAUGAAUACUUGUUUUCGGCGAUAUAAUGUCGGAGGCAAAGCGAAAGCGAUAAGUAUUCCACCUGGGGAGUACGCCGGCAACGGUGAAACUCAAAGGAAUUGACGGGG
rnacentral:rRNA from 1 species